GCCCACGUAGCUCAGGAGGUAGAGCACUUCCUUGGUAAGGAAGAGGUCACCGGUUCGAAUCCGGUCGUGGGCUCCA
rnacentral:tRNA from 2 species